AUUUUGAUUUGUAUAUAUAAAAGCACUUAAUUUUCUACUGAAGCAGGAAACUUAAAGCUCAGAACUUAAAAAAAAAAAAAGUUCUAAGAAGCUAGCCAGACAGACACAACCCCAAAAUGUUGUCCAAAGGGUUCUAAGCUCAGAAUCCUCUCUUGAAGGUGGGGAGGGACAGCCAGGAGGGCACCUCCGUGCUUCGGUAGAUGGCACUGAGGAAGGAAAAUGAGGGAGUCAUGAUGCUGAUGCAGAAUGUCUAAAUGGUGACAUGUUCCCUGCUGGUUUGAGGAGAGAAAUUGGGCUUCCUGUGGCAACAACUGGACUUUGGAAGACAGAAAGUCUCUGUGAUCCUGAAGAAACAGAGCUGGAAGAGAGAGGAGGAAGAAUACGGGAUGAGGAAAAAGCACUUCCCAAGCCCCUGAGAAGUGGCAGAAACUGGUCCAGACAGAGCAGCUGGAUACCUGCAGGGAGAGCAAGACCAGAUGUCACCACGUGGCAAAGCUGGGGUGGGCACAACGCCCAAAGACCAGCACAAUUGCACAUCUCAGCAGAGGCUGGCAGUGGGAGCACAUCUUUGGAUGUUUAUUUCCUAAUGCUAGGACAUUGUUCCAGAAAAGAAAAGAGGAGGGAAAGAAGGAGGAAACCCUUGAAUUAAUCAAAAGAGGCUUAGUUUGAACCGAAACUCAAUGAGUUUCUUUGUAAGGGAAAAUUUUCCACCGUUGGCUCAAAUAAGGACUGUAGUGCUUAUUAAGUUCAGUUAUAGUUUGAGAACCAGUCACAUCGGUGCCCAUCUAGUUUUGUAAGCAACACAUGUUCAUGAUACUUGUGUACUUAUCUUCUGUGUAGACAUUGGGUAUUGGUUCUUCCUCCACGAUUUAUCCAGAAGGCUUUGCUGUCUCCAGAAUGGUGGCUGCACCUUGGAUGUCCUUUUCACCCAAGGGCUCUGCAUCUUAGUUCUUGGUUGCUGUCCUGGAGUCUUUCUCCCAUAAAG
rnacentral:lncRNA from 1 species